UACGAUAGAUGCACGGUGGCGACAGCACCGUUGCUUGUUUCCUCGUUCAUAUAUUGCCCAUACCUGUCGCUAAGAUCACACACACCUACUGCAAAAGUUAACCAAUGCUUUGGCGCUAUAAUCGCAAUUAUGGUGAUUUCGUUGCGAAUGUAAUGCGUUCUCCGGCAAAACUCGUAACUAAUAUGCUUCGGCGCCACCACCCGCACACGUGGGAAACUAACCAAACAAACUGAGAAACAACAAAGACGCCGAAAACAAAGUAAACGACUAAGAUGCCAGGAAUACAAAAGAAAUCAUUUAUUCUUUCUUAGACUCUUCUCGAAGUCGCAAAAAAUGCCCAAAGUGGCUAAGGAAAAAUUAUCAUACAUUAGUGAAAAAUAAAGCACCCGAGAAAAUUUAAAUCAUAGUAAAACAGCUAUUAAGAGAAGCAAAGAAAAAAAUCUUCAUGCAAUAAUGUUAAACCUAUCUAUAAUUUUACAUAGAGAGCAAUUCAUUUGUAAGUAUUCCCUUUUAGCCACCUAAGCAGAAAAUAUAAAAUUCCCAUAAAUUGGCUGAUUAUCAAUAUGGAAAAUGAAAUAUCUAUGACGACAAUAUGUAUAAGAAUCAUAUGGUUAUAACGAAUCGGAUGAAAUAUCUCCGAUGGGAAGAAAGUCAGAAACAAUGCAGAGAGCAAGGUACUUUAAAUAAAAAAAAUAGUAGAUUUUAUAGUCUUAGUUGUAUUAGAAAUAUUUCAAGGUUUUAUAUGUCCAAUUUAUUUUAAAUCUGUAUAUGAACAUGCGCUAUAUGUUGAUCAUAAAAACAUUACAUUAUGGCUAUAUUAUAUUGAAAUAGAAAUGCGCAAUAAGUACAUCAAUUAUGCCAGAAAUUUAUUAGAUCGUGUAGUUACAAUUUUACCUAGAAUAAAUCAAUUUUGAUACAAAUACACAUAUAUGCAAGAAAUGUUAAAAAAUAUUAUUGGUAAGAUUUGAUAUAAAAUUAGAGAUUAUUUUUUAUUAUCUAACUUGAUUUUAUAGAGAUUUAUUAUAGAAGCACGUCAAGUUUUUGAGCGAUGGAUGGAAUGGGGACCUGACUAACAGGCAUAGUAAACAUAUAUUAAAUUUGAAUUACUAUAUAAAGAAAUACAAAAGGCUAGAUAGAGAUAUAUAAUUGUAUAGGGAGAUAUAAAGUUCUGUAAAAAAUUUAGAACGCAAAGUUUAUGAAGGUGUUAUAAACUAUUUCGGAGAUGAGAACUUAGAUGAAAAGCUAUUAAUAGCAUUUGCAAGAUUUGAAGAAGGACAGAAAGAAGUAUUAUUUUAAAAUAACAAUAUAUUUAGUAUCUCUGUUAUAUUAAGUAUAAUUUUAAUACUUCUUUGAUAGCAUGAUAGAGCAAAAAUAAUUUCUAAGUAUGCUUUAGACAAUAUUUCAAAAGAAAGAACAAAAGAAAUAUUUAAUGCAUAUGUCACACAAGAAAAGAAAUAUGGUGAUUUUGAAUGUAAUUCAUACUAUAAAGAUUAAUAUUUAUUUAAUACGAAAUAUGAAUUGAAAAGUUUUAAGUAUUAAUAUUAAUUUGUAUAAAUUUAUAAAAAAAUAACACAAA